UAAUCCUACUAUAUUAUUUGGGAAGUAUAUUUUAAAUGUAACCUUAAUUUUUGUAAAUAAUUACAUAGGUAUGCCAUUAGAAAUAAAAUUUUAAAAAGUAAAUUAAUUUAUCUCUUUA
rnacentral:sRNA from 1 species